rnacentral:rRNA from 1 species
UACGAAGGGUGCAAGCGUUACUCGGAAUCACUGGGCGUAAAGCGUGCGUAGGUGGUGAGUUAAGUCUGUCGUGAAAGCCCCGGGCUCAACCUGGGAAUGGCGAUGGAUACUGGCUCGCUAGAGUGCGGUAGAGGAGAGUGGAAUUCCCGGUGUAGCAGUGAAAUGCGUAGAGAUCGGGAGGAACAUCAGUUGCGAAGGCGGCUCUCUGGACCAACACUGACACUGAGGCACGAAAGCGUGGGGAGCAAACAGG